CUGGCACAUAGUAGACAUCAAAUAGAAGACUGUUGAUUGAAAGAAUUAUAAUAGUGGGAGAGAUAGAGGGCCUUUAAAAUGCUAGGACCAGGAAACCAGUUGCUGUUGGGGACUGAUUUUUAGGUAGCACCUUCCUUCUUCCUCCACUAGUCUGGACAACUUUCAUGGAGUCUUGACCUGACCAGAAAAUUAGCAAUGUGAUUGACUAAGGUUGCCAGAAAAAUGAGAAUAAGGGUGUGUUGGCAAUAUUAGUGACCUUUCUUUGAAUCAGAAGCCCUGUGUUUGUGUCCCAGCUCUAUUAUUCAGUAAUUCUACGAUCCUGGCAAGAGGUAAAAGAUAGAAAGCAAUUCCUGCUUCCUUUCCCUGACUCUCAGAAGAUAAAAAGGACAACUUGUGCAAGUAGCACCUGACAGGCUAAGGUUGCUCAAGAGAGAACCUGAAAGGAAAUGUCAAAAUCCUUCUUCCUUUCUGUUUCUUUUUUCAAACACAGAUCAAUGACUAGUGUUGCAAUGUAAUGCUUAGUGCAUGAGCAUGAUUGACAGGCAGAAAAUCUUCAGAGCUGGCAGAGGAAAAGAUUCCAAGGAGUUGGAGAGGCAGUUUACUGGUCUCUCUUGGGAGUUGACAGCUACUAAAGAAGCUGGAGGUGGCUGAUCUGUGCUCCUGUGGACAUCUUUGGAUCAUCUUACAAGCAGCCCUCUGAAGCAGGAGUGGAUAGGAGUUUUUCAAUACCCUUAGGUGGACUAAGGGACAAUAUUGGGAGCUCCAGCCAUUCUCUGGAACAUCUAGGAUUUUUCAUCUGGACACAGCCUUUACUUGCCAAAAGACUCUAUAUGUAAAAUCUCUGAACUUUCUGUUGGACUGGCCCUUAGGAGUUUAUUGUAGUUAAGAUAGGAUUAUUAGAUAGUGACUUAAAAUAGGGGUUAAGCUGUCAGAUCUCCCUUUCCCUCAUUCCUACCCUCUCCAUCUCAGAAAAAUAAAAUAAAAAUAUUUAUAUUUUAAUCCCAAUGUGUUUUCCAUCCUAAAACCCCUCCAAAUUAAUAUUGUUAUUAAACUAGAGAUCCUGAGAAUGGAUGUUUUCCACUUCACUUAGGAAUUAAUUCAUAGGCAACUAUAUUUGAGCAUUGCCAUGUUUUAUAUUUCUUAAGAGACUGAGAAUUUUGGGGUUGGACCACAGUCUCCUAAAGUGAGAUGAUUUCCUAAAUGAAAUACUUUUGAAAGAAAAGUAGAGGAGGCAAAGCUUUCAUCUGAAGUUGAAAGACUAUAAUAAUUUCAUAAUGGUCUAGAAGAGCUAGUCCUUGAGAGACCUCAACCACAUGGUCAUGAGAUUCUUGUGCAGUGUUGUUUUGUUGUAUGAUGUAUAUAUCUCUGUUUUACUAAUAGAUCUGUCCUCAACCAGUACCAAAAUGUUAUGAUUACUACUUUGCAGUAUAAUUUGAAAUAUGUGUACAAAUAGGCCUUCUUUCAAAAUUUUUUCUUUAUUUUCCUUGAGAUUUUAAACUUUUUGUUCCUCUGGAUGAAUUUUUUUAUUUUUUUUCUGUCAAGUAAUCCUUUGGAAACUUGAA